CAAUAUUUAUAAUAGUGAUAGAAAAAUCAGAAGGAGAAAUACGAGAAAGUUUAGGGGAGUGUUCUACUAAAGCCCAAAAAAAGACAAGCAAUAAUAUGAUGACAAGAAGAAAAAUAAAAGAAAAAGUGGGCUAAAAGCCAUCAUCAAUCAUGGAGCCAUGAAGCAAAACACGGGUGAAAAAAAAAGAACGAAACCUAAGACUAAAACAAAGAGGAAUCACGCAGCAAAACGAAACGAAGAAAGGAGAAAAAAAAAACCUGAGGAACAUUGAGGACGAUACAACAGUAGGGCAGUAGCGGCACUACAGAGGAGGAGAUUGAAGAGGAGACCAGAGAGGACAGUGGAUGCGGGACGCUAACGCGCGAGCAAGCGUCGUUCAUCUGAUUCUUCAUAUGAAUUUGGAGUUUAUCCCUCUCUUCUAUUAGUCUAUGUUAAUUACUAUAUUUAAUUUCAGAUUUUCACUCUCAAUUAGUUGGGUUGAUUAAGUUGUUAUGUCUAGCUAAAUUUCUAUGUUCUAGGACUAGAUGUAGUCUUUUAUUUUUCUGUCAAUGAGUUGAACUGAGUUGUUUGGAUUGAUUUAUUUUUAUUGCAAUUUGAUAAUCUUGGUUUGUUUUCAUAUAAUUGAUUUGGCCAGUUGAUUAUAUGUUUAAGAUAUUGGAUUAUUAGCGAAAGUAAAAGUUCAAUAUUAGUUCAUGGGCUUAUUAAACGUCAAGUAGUAUAAUUUUAGUAAUAGUUAUACACUUGGGGUUGUCUUUUACCUGAAUUUCUUUUUUGUAACGGGUUUAUAUUAAUUGUUAUGACCAUGGAAGUAGGCGUAAGAUUAGUAUAAAUACACGUUUUCUACCUUGGAAGAGGAGAUAAUAUAUCAUAGGAAGUUCGAUCAUUGCAAUACAAUAGCUUUUAAUCCGACAACUAAUUUAAUUUCAUUAUAGAAGGUAAUUGAUGAAAUCUAAGUCCUACAAUCAUUUCGUAAACAAAUGAAAUAUGACUUACCUAAUAUUACCACCAUAUCAGAUACUAUCUCCAUGCCACUUUAUCAAAAUAUUCAACUAGCUAGUAUGUCUUCAUGAUCUUAGGAUGUUGCCAUAAUGGAAAUAAUACUAGUAGAUUUCCACUACCGUUAAAUACACUUAAAUGCAUCUCGGCCUUUGAGUUAUUGUGAGAAUAAGUGGUUAUCUAGAUGUAGUGCACCAUAUUAUCUCGUAUCAAGAGCUUUAAUAAUGAUAACAAUAAUAUUGGAUACAUGGCUUUUCUGGAAAAAGCUAGGUGCAUAUCACGAUGGUUGAUUAUUUACUAUGUACAUUUUUUAGUUUGCUGGUUAAUUUAGUCCAUAAAAUAUAGGGAUACACAGUUAGGUGCAUAUCAUGAUUGUUUUCUAUAUAAGCAUAUACUUCCUCCGUUUUUUUUUACUCGCUACACUUCUCAUUUCACGGACUCCUAGGCAAUUUUUGGAGAAGAGAGAGGUAGAGAGUAAAAAGAAAAGGGACCCAUGUGGGAGGAGAGAGAUAGAGAGAGUUUAUUGCCCAAAAAAGAAGUGUAGCAAGUAAUGUGAAACUUCCCAUAAUGGAAAGUGUAGCGAGUAAAAAGAAACGGAGGAAGUAUGUAAAAAAAAAUCAAUUUAAAAUGGUGCAAAAAGGAACAAGAAUUACAUCUUGAAAUAUAAGGAGUAAUUUUUAAGAGGGUGUUUGGUAUAGAAAAACUUGAUGUAGGAAACGGAUUCCAAUAAGCGUUUCCAUUUCUAUAUGUUUCGUAUGAGUAUUUAUAUAGUAACAAAUACUGGUCCCAAAGGAAAACACAAUCCCCUCAUUUGUAAUCCUUAUCAAACUCGUGGAAACAAUUCACGUUUCCUUCCUCAAUCAUACCGUUUCCGGAGCGAAACACGAGCCCAGGCUUAAACAUAUUUAUUUUUUAAAUAACGACCACUUGACUUUGUUCGGUAAUAGACACGUGUCAAAAUUCUGAUGGUAGGAGGAGGGUGUCAUAUGGCCAUCAACGGUAUCAUGCACACCUUUUAAUAUAUUAUAGUUGUAUAGAUUUAUCAUGAAAUUUUAAAUGCUAACAUUAGAGAAGAACUUGAUAGUGAGAUGGCGGUGGACAUCACUAUUCAAUAAGAAAACACAAAAGACUAAUGAAGCAUAAUUAAAUCACAAUAAUUCGUGGUGGGAGUGACUAUUAAGAGUAGAUUAUAAUGCUCAAAGUUUGAGUAUAAUAUUGGUUAGUUGGUGCCGCAACAUUUAGUAUAAAUAGAGGGAACAUAGACGAGUGAUUUAGCAACAAUACAAGCUACAACAUUCUCAAUUGCAUAAUUAAACACAAGAUUAGUGCACAACACUUCCAAACAAAAGCAAUGGAGACUAAAGUUGGCUACAAAAGAAUCAUAUUAGCUGUCUUUCUCAUCCUUGCAACAGUGAUGGUGCAAAUCCUUGCUGUGAAAGCACAAGAAGAAAAUCCAAUGUGUGAGGAACACAAUGGGCAUCCAUGCACUCCGAAAGUUAGAGAAUGUUGUCCUAAUACAGGACGCCAAUGUGUUGCUACCUCGUCCAAUGGAUUUCGAUGCAUGUAAAUGUGUCGUCGAUAUCAACUCCUAAAUUGGCGAUACUUCUCCCCUACAUAUUGAUGGACCUUUCUUUCUGUUUUACGCAAUUGUCUUUUCUUUUUCACCCCCUGUUGUUGUUUUAUGUAUCAAGGGUGACUUUAUUUCCUGUAAUAUUUUCGUGAGAAUUUAUGGUCUAUCUUAACUAGCCAUAAGAAAACUAGAUAUGGUUUUCAUGUGCUAUAUAAAUAAAAAUUGUGUGUAUUAAUUUA